GAUGAACGCUGGCGGCGUGCCUAAUACAUGCAAGUCGAGCGAACGGACGAGAAGCUUGCUUCUCUGAUGUUAGCGGCGGACGGGUGAGUAACACGUGGAUAACCUACCUAUAAGACUGGGAUAACUUCGGGAAACCGUAGCUAAUACCGGAUAAUAUUUUGAACCGCAUGGUUCAAAAGUGAAAGACGGUCUUGCUGUCACUUAUAGAUGGAUCCGCGCUGCAUUAGCUAGUUGGUAAGGUAACGGCUUACCAAGGCAACGAUGCAUAGCCGACCUGAGAGGGUGAUCGGCCACACUGGAACUGAGACACGGUCCAGACUCCUACGGGAGGCAGCAGUAGGGAAUCUUCCGCAAUGGGCGAAAGCCUGACGGAGCAACGCCGCGUGAGUGAUGAAAGUCUUCGGAUCGUAAAACUCUGUUAUUAGGGAAGGACAUAUGUGUAAGUAACUGUGCACAUCUUGACGGUACCUAAUCAGAAAGCCACGGCUAACUACGUG
rnacentral:rRNA from 1 species